UGCCAGCCGCCGCGGUAAUACGAAGGGGGCAAGCGUUGUUCGGAAUCAUUGGGCGUAAAGCGUAUGUAGGCGGCCGAAUAAGUCAGGCGUGCAAGCCCAUGGCUCAACCAUGGAAUUGCGUUUGAAACUGUUCGGCUUGAGUGCAGGAGAGGAAGGCGGAAUUCCCAGUGUAGCGGUGAAAUGCGUUGAUAUUGGGAAGAACACCGGUGGCGAAGGCGGCCUUCUGGCCUGCUACUGACGCUGAGAUACGAAAGCCAGGGGAGCGAACGGGAUUAGAUA
rnacentral:rRNA from 1 species